GAAGGUAAAUUGAUUCAGUAGUUGUGUUGGGUGCUUUUUGGUAAAAUACAUCGAGGGAAUCCAAAACUAAAUGGCUGCCGAGAGGGGAGUCUCGAUCAUGAAUCGUUCAGUGACAUACACAGGUUCAAGGAUGGGCGUUAUACAUACAAGAGAGCUGUAGACGCAAGAGUGCAAGAGAUUGCCCCAACCGGGAAUUUCUGAGCCAGAUCUUUAUCAAUGACAUUUUUGGAGGUAAGCUCGAUAAAAAGAAAAGGAUGUUUGGAACUGGGAAUCUGGCAAAAAGCCUUGUGGGUGGCAGUUCAGCACGAACUCCAGGAUUGAUUGGCUCAUGCCCCAACCGGCUUAGAUCCUUCUGUGCGAGCUGAAAUACGGGAGGAAUUGCGCGAAUAAUUGCACCAAGAAUUGCUGGAAGAAUUACAAGAAGAAAUGCGUCAGGGAACUCAAUGCUAUCCGUGAACAAAGAACAAAGUUGGAAAAUGAUGUUGCAAGAGAUGAUGAAAUAGUUCAUGACGACAUCCCACAAGUCCAGCCACGCCUCUGACGGUUCUGUAGGGAUAUGACCCACGUAUUACAAACUUGAUAAGUUGUCUUUUCUUUUGAACAUCAUACAUUUCGUUGAUUGUUUUAACUACUAACAUUUAUACUUAUUAAUCAUAAUUUUUUUAUUAAA